rnacentral:rRNA from 1 species
AACGAACGCUGGCGGCAUGCCUAACACAUGCAAGUCGAACGAGACCUUCGGGUCUAGUGGCGCACGGGUGUGUAACGCGUGGGAACCUGCCCUUAGGUUCGGAAUAACUCCCCGACAGGGGUGCUAAUACCGGAUAAUGUCUUCGGACCAAAGAUUUAUCGCCUUUGGAUGGGCCCGCGUUGGAUUAGCUAGUUGGUAGGGUAAAAGCCUACCAAGGCGACGAUCCAUAGCUGGUCUGAGAGGAUGAUCAGCCACACUGGGACUGAGACACGGCCCAGACUCCUACGGGAGGCAGGAGUGGGGAAUAUUGGAAAAUGGGCGAAAGCCUGAUCCAGCAAUGCCGCGUGAGUGAUGAAGGCCUUAGGGUUGUAAAGCUCUUUUACCCGGGAUGAUAAUGACAGUACCGGGAGAAUAAGCUCCGGCUAACUCCGUG